GCGUGGGCAGGGCGGACUGUGAAUCUCUGGGCGACGAGGCGAUGGACGGCGAUAACGACCACGCCGGGCUCCCUUCGUACUCGGUUUCCCACCUCCUCGUUGCGCACGCUGUCGGUCGAAGACUCUGUGCUCGGGCUCCCCUCGCGGCCCUUUCCGGGGGAGCCGUUCCUCCUUGACGGCGCGCCUCUUUUUCUCCUAGUAUCUCUUUGUUUUUCCUCGUUCACGUUUCGUCCUACAUUUCGCUUGCCAGUGUUAUGGUUCAGUCGUCUUCUCCCGGCGUCUCCUCGUCCGCCGUCAUACCUCUCGCCCCUCUCGCGCCUCUCAUCUUAUUCCUCCACGCGCCCUACCCCCGACCGCCCGCAUGCCGGGCGGACUGGCCGCGGGAGUUCUGCUCUCUUUACGCUUUCCGCCUUAGAUCCACUCCCGAGCGGUGCGCAGCCCCUACCAUUAGUUGCCAGCGAGUAAUGUCGGGGACUUUAAUGGAACUGCCCGCGCAAUCGGCGCGCAAGGUGGGGAUGACGUCAAGUCAUCACGGCCCGUACGUCCUGGGCUACACACGUGCUACAAUGGUUAUUACAGAGGGCAGCUACACAGCAAUGUGAUGCAAAUCUUCAAAAAUAAUCUCAGCUCGGAUUGGGGUCUGCAACUCGACCUCAUGAAGCUGGAUUCGCUAGUAAUCGCGCAUCAGCAAUGGCGCGGUGAAUACGUUCCCGGGCCUUGUACACACCGCCCGUCAAACAAUGGAAGUUGGGAGUAUCUAAAGUCGGUAGCUGUAAGGCGCCGCCUAGGGUAAAACCAAUGACUGGUGUUAAGUCGUAACAAGGUAA
rnacentral:rRNA from 1 species